UAGGGAAUCUUCCGCAAUGGGCGAAAGCCUGACGGAGCAACGCCGCGUGAGUGAUGAAGGUCUUCGGAUCGUAAAACUCUGUUAUUAGGGAAGAACAAAUGUGUAAGUAACUAUGCACGUCUUGACGGUACCUAAUCAGAAAGCCACGGCUAACUACGUGCCAGCAGCCGCGGUAAUACGUAGGUGGCAAGCGUUAUCCGGAAUUAGUGGGCGUAAAGCGCGCGUAGGCGGUUUUUUAAGUCUGAUGUGAAAGCCCACGGCUCAACCGUGGAGGGUCAUUGGAAACUGGAAAACUUGAGUGCAGAAGAGGAAAGUGGAAUUCCAUGUGUAGCGGUGAAAUGCGCAGAGAUAUGGAGGAACACCAGUGGCGAAGGCGACUUUCUGGUCUGUAACUGACGCUGAUGUGCGAAAGCGUGGGAAUCAAACAGG
rnacentral:rRNA from 1 species